UACGUAGGGGGCGAGCGUUGUCCGGAAUUAUUGGGCGUAAAGAGCUCGUAGGCGGUGUGUCGCGUCGGCCGUGAAAACCUGCAGCUUAACUGUGGGCUUGCGGUCGAUACGGGCAUCACUGGAGUUCGGCAGGGGAGACUGGAAUUCCUGGUGUAGCGGUGAAAUGCGCAGAUAUCAGGAGGAACACCGGUGGCGAAGGCGGGUCUCUGGGCCGAUACUGACGCUGAGGAGCGAAAGCGUGGGGAGCAAACAGG
rnacentral:rRNA from 1 species